UUAUAACAUAUGGAGAUCCAGGUGUCAUCCCCCUCUACAGCCACGUUUGCACUGUGUUUCUGUGGCAUGUGUUGAAAACAAUUAUUAGCACAUGCUGAAGACUAUCAAGUGGGAUGUUUGCAGCUGUCACUUCACAGGAUUAUCUUUUGCCUCCCAUUUGGGAUGAUUAUGUCUGUUGUCAACAGGCUGUUGGAGGAUCAUGUAACAGGGGCCAAAUGCAAGACUCUUCUCAUCAGACAGCACUUAGGGUCUUCAGAUUUUGUCUGCAAGAAGAGUUUGAUGCAAUCAGUCACAGCUCUUACAAGAAAACUACAAAAUUCAUUGACACUAAUUAUCUGACUUAAGCAAUGAGGCCACAUCUUCAUGUAGCUGUAACCUGGACCAACCUGCAGUUUACAGGAGUUUGUUUCAGACAGAACAAGCAAGAAGGAGACAUGAAAACCACUGUGGCGGUGCUGAGUUCAAAUGCCAGUGUACAAUUGUGAGGAAAAAUCCAGAUCUGACCUCACUGAUCUCUUCUGUUGGGAAAAGAGGUGAAGAGAGACCACCCCAUUUCUCAUUAAAAUAUCUAGUUGGUUACAAUCCUUUUUUUAUUUUUUUUCUUUCACUAGUACAACACACUGAGUAAUGUGAAGGUUUCAUUUUUUAAAAGUAUAUAUCAUAUGUACUGGUUCAUUGUUGAUUUGAAGAAAAAAAGGCAAAAGUGUGGUUUUGAUUGUUUGAUCCAUCUGAGGACCCUGUGUAUUCUGCUUCCUGAGGAAAGUUUUCUCCCUUUAUGAAUUUAGUAAUGACUUGCUGAUUUAACCUCCCAGGAGGUUUCUUCCAGAUUGCUUUUAGUAUCUUUGGGACUUGGUGGUGACAUAA
rnacentral:lncRNA from 1 species